AACGAACGCUGGCGGCAGGCUUAACACAUGCAAGUCGAGCGCCCCGCAAGGGGAGCGGCAGACGGGUGAGUAACGCGUGGGAAUCUACCCAUCUCUACGGAAUAACGCAGGGAAACGUGUGCUAAUACCGUAUACGUCCUUCGGGAGAAAGAUUUAUCGGAGAUGGAUGAGCCCGCGUUGGAUUAGGUAGUUGGUGGGGUAAAGGCCUACCAAGGCGACGAUCCAUAGCUGGUCUGAGAGGAUGAUCAGCCACACUGGGACUGAGACACGGCCCAGACUCCUACGGGAGGCAGCAGUGGGGAAUAUUGGACAAUGGGCGCAAGCCUGAUCCAGCCAUGCCGCGUGAGUGAUGAAGGCCCUAGGGUUGUAAAGCUCUUUCACCGGUGAAGAUAAUGACGGUAACCGGAGAAGAAGCCCCGGCUAACUUCGUGCCAGCCGCCGCGUAAGAC
rnacentral:rRNA from 1 species